UAACCGGACACGAUUGGUUAUGUUCUAAGGGACUGUGCAAGGUGAACCAAGGGCUUAACCGCGGUUAAAAUUAAAACCGAUAGAUCGCUUGGAAUCGGUUUGUGAUCUGUGGAUCUAUUCUUCUCCGCAGUAGGUGGUGUGGCUAAAAAUAAGUGUGAGGCGUGGGCCCCAAAAAAACCCUUCUAUAGAUCCGGUUCCUGUGUAUCGUGUAUGGAGAUAUGGAAGAUGGCAACCUAGAAGUGGCUUGCAUAGCGCUGGUUGAUGAAGACCAUAAAUAAUAUAUUAAUAACUAGAAUUAAUAAUAUAUUAAUAACUAGUUGAUGAAGACUAACUAUCUUCCUGGCUGAGACCCGGAAUCUCAAAGGCAGGAAUGGUGAAGGGGGCACAUGCAGGAAGGGAGCUAUGUAUUUGAGAAGUGUCACUACUUUUCUUGUAUUCCUGUUUUUGCUGCUUUCACCUCAUCUACUCGCAUCCAUAUCCAGUUGCUUGUAACACCUCCCUUGGGACACCACCUGCUGAAAGUUAUUGAAGCCUCCACAACUGACUGAUCUGCUGCUGGUUCCUAUGCCUAGUCUUGUAGGUGUCAAGCACAGAGUCCAUUUAGACCAACUUGGUCCUGCUGCCUUGGAAGACUUGGAACAGUCAGAUUUCUAGCUGCUGGAGACACGUUUAGAUCAAUUGCUUAUAGUUACAGGAUGGGGGAAAGAACGGUGUCGAAGAUUGUAGAAGAAGUAUGUCAAGCAUUGUGGGAGCGCUUGCAAUCCCAGGUACUCGAAGAGCCAAACACUAAUGACUGGAAAGAAAUCGCAAAAGGUUUUAAGGAUAAUUGUCAGUUUGAUCAUUGCGUCGGUGCAAUUGACGGCAAACAUGUAACCAUAAAAGCGCCGCCUAACUCGGGCUCAAGUUUUUUUAAUUACAAAAAAACAUUUUCCAUUGUUUUGUUAGCAGUUGUGGAUUCCAACAGAAAAUUUAUUUAUAUAGACGUAGGAUCUAUGGGGAGAUUUAGCGACAGUGGAAUCUUAAACGAUAGUACCUUUGGAAGAAAAUUAAGAACUGGGGGAUUAAAUUUACCAUCUGAUGAGCCGUUAUAUCCAGGGGGAGUAGAAAUACCAUAUGUUUUUGUGGGCGAUGAAGCGUUUCCGCUGAUGACUAAUUUAAUGCGUGCAUAUCCACAAUCGAACUUAUCGGACUCUAAAAGAAUAUAUAACUACCGUCUCUGCAGAGCACGCAGGGUAGUGGAAAAUGCCUUUGAGAUUUUAGCGGCUCGAUUUAGGAUAUUUAGAACACCAUUGACGACGUGCGCUUUACACAAUUAUUUAAUUAAACAUAAUUUUUAUGACAUGCGAGAUGAUAUUGAAGCCCUCGAUGAUAGGCAACUAACGCCAUUAGCCCAUUGUGGAUUUCGGUGUUCCAAUGACAGUUUUUUUGUAAGGGAAGAAUUCUGUCAAUAUUUUAAUGGCAUAGGAGCAGUUCCUUGGCAAAGUACACGGGUUUCAAAUAUACUAUUGUAGAUAUUAAUUAAUAUCUAAAAUGUCCUUAUAAUGUCCUUUUUUAAUUUGUUAUACCUACUUAAUACAUAAUAUGUAUAUCCAUAGAAUAAUAAUUAAAAAGAAAAAAUAAGUAAAUUUAAGUAUUUGUUUAACCACUGAAAUCAAGAUACAUAUAAAAGCAAAUUAUGGUUUGUAUCUACAACAAAGGUAAUUGUUCAAAUUCCGUGGCAUUCAAAGUAGAGCAAAUUCUAAAGAACUUUUGUAAACUUCAUUUUGGUUAUAAAGGUUUGCUCUGUUUACUUUAUAUUCACUGAUAAUGUAAGGUAAAGCAUUGUACAAGGUGGCCCGUUUAUUAUGGGCCUAUGUCUUUUCUCGGAAUCUACAGGGUGUACAAAAAAGUUUUAAUACAAAAGUUUUAUAUUACCAAGUAUAUUUUACAAGCUUUUAUUUAACUUGCCGUGUAUGUGUGUAUGUGUGAAU
rnacentral:misc_RNA from 1 species